AUUGAACGCUGGCGGCAGGCUUAACACAUGCAAGUCGAGCGGGGACUUCGGUCCUAGCGGCGAACGGGUGAGGAAUGCUUGGGAAUCUGCCCAGUAGCGGGGGAUAACGUUUCGAAAGGAGCGCUAAUACCGCAUACGCCCUACGGGGGAAAGGGGGGGAUCUUCGGACCUCUCACUAUUGGAUGAGCCCAAGUCGGAUUAGCUAGUUGGUGGGGUAAAGGCCUACCAAGGCGACGAUCCGUAGCUGGUCUGAGAGGAUGAUCAGCCACACUGGAACUGAGACACGGUCCAGACUCCUACGGGAGGCAGCAGUGGGGAAUAUUGGACAAUGGGCGAAAGCCUGAUCCAGCCAUGCCGCGUGUGUGAAGAAGGCCUUCGGGUUGUAAAGCACUUUAAGCGAGGAGGAAUGGCUCUGGGUUAAUACCCUUGAGCAGUGACGUUACUCGCAGAAUAAGCACCGGCUAACUCUGUGCCAGCAGCCGCCGUAACAC
rnacentral:rRNA from 1 species